UACGUAGGCAGCAAGCGUUGUUCGGAGUUACUGGGCGUAAAGGGUGCGUAGGCGGUCCUAUAAGUAUGGUGUGAAAUCUCCCGGCUUAACUGGGAGGGUGCGCUAUAGACUGUGGGACUAGAGUGUGGGAGAGGAAAGUGGAAUUCCUGGUGUGGCGGUGAAAUGCGUAGAUAUCAGGAGGAACACCGGUGGUGUAAACGGCUUUCUGGACCAUAACUGACGCUGAGGCACGAAAGCGUGGGUAGCAAACAGG
rnacentral:rRNA from 1 species